AUGGAACCACCAGUCACGUACCUAACCAGUUCUGCUUCUCUGGAGUCUGAAGUCCCGUAUAAUGUAGCACCACCGAGAAAGAAUACAGCUUCAGUGAACGAGAGCAAGUUGAGGGUGGAACCUGCGAAGUUGGUCAUGACAGAUGAUGAGAAGAAAAAACUAAGCCAAGAUUUGGACGCGUUAGAAGAGUUCCCACAAAACAUUGUUGAUCUCCUGAAAGAGCAAAUUGGCAAUGAUGACCUAUCUGGGGAAGUUGAGAUUGAGAUUGAUAUAGAGACGCUUUCAGACGAAACCUUGUUCAUGGUUCGGAAACUCCUGGAUGACUAUCUAAAGGACAGAAAGAAAUCACAGGAGAAGAGUGAACAUUGUGAGAUGGAGGUAAAGAAUCUCUGUUAUCAGUUUUUAGUGAUUGUUUGUGUGCGCCAGGAAAUUUUGUCAUUUGACUUUUGGUUUAACUUGUCUCGUAACAGAUUGCUCAUGACUCUGGAUUCAGUAAUUCCACUCUGCAGCCUAGUAAAGGUAACUUGUUGCUAUUUGGUUUGAUGUCGAAAAUGAUUUGUAUCAGGAGUCUGAUGUAUUCCUAAUUACAGGUGAUAUGCUAAUUGACGAGGAUGUUGACAUAAUUGGUGGGAACGAUCCCCCUGUUUCUAGCCAUCCCCCUCACAAGAUAGACAAAGAUGCUGCAUGUAGAAACAAUGAACGCAGCAGUUCGAGUAGCUCCAGUAGGGAUUCAGGCUCUUCGUCUAGUGGUUCGUGUUUAUGCGAGCCUUCUUUUAUUUCGUUAGAAUAAUCAUUUUUUUUCUCUCUUAAAUUGUACCCUUUUUUUUUCACAGUAUGUAAGAUUAGUUAAGAUUGGAAAUAAAGUAACUCGUCAUCGCUACCUGUCUUUUUGUUUUGUUUUUGUUUUGGUGAUUAUAGAACUGUGGUAAUUGUGUUGAUGGGUCUCAGCGCAAAACUGAAAACUCUAUGUUUUUUCUAUGCUCUACUAAUUGUGGUUAUACCCUUGCUAUAGAGGAUAUUGUAGUUUGUUUGUAUGGUUUAUUAGUUGAUGACAGGAGUUAUUUCUUACGCUAGGAUUUGGUGAAUUCUAGAAUGGUUUUCUUUGUUUAAUUGUCCCCUUAGAAAGAGCCUUUUAUACUGAUUAUUUCUGUGAUUAUCUUUCAGAUUCUGAUUCUUGUAGUUCCUCUAGGAGUGAAACAGAUUUCACUAAAGCUUCAAAUCCUACGAGUACAGAGGUAUAUGACAGUGGAAUUAAAAUUGAAAUUCACUACGGUAGAAUAAGUGUAAUCUUCUCUUUAAUUUAGGAUAAAAAGGAACCUGGAGUUGAUAUCAACGGUGAAAAGAUUGUUGUAAAUGGUUAGUCUCUUUUCAAUUGAUGUAUGCAAGUUGGAGUGCUCGGAUGAAAGUUAUCCCGAAACUUAUUCUUUGUUCUCUGUAGAUUCUUUAAAUGAGUCUUGUCAAGUUGAGCAUGAUGUUCGGGAAAAGUCAACCUCCAUGGCUGCAUUAAAUGUCCUUACAGAGGGUAAGAAAUGAAAGUUAACGAUAAUGAUGGUAAUAGCUGUUUGUUAUCAUAUCAUUAGUUUACCUGUCAUGUUUUGGCUAUCUUAGAGGAGACGGCUCCACUUGAGAGGCAAGAUUCCCCAGGAAAGCGUCAGCGCGCGGCUUUGUUGAAAAAUCGCUUUGCUGAUAGGAAGAUGUUCAGACCGUGGAUCUCAUGUCCGAGCUCCUCCGCCGUCUCAAAUGUUCACAAAAGCCCGACAAACGCCUCAUCUUCAUAGGUACGUCAUCAAUCAAUUAUCCUUUUUUUAGAUCUGAGAGAUUGUAUCAGUGAGAGCUUGAACGAGUCGUGUAGUUACACUUAGGUUUCUUCUCAAGUGGUUCUGUUCGUUCGUUGUUUUGACUUCAGACUUUUAGAUCGAAAGUUUCAUCAUUUGUGUCUGCUCAUGGCAAAGAUGAUUGUAAUGUUAAUAAGUUAGUCUCUUUCUUUGGGGGAAUCAAUAAGCAGCUUAGUGCACCUGUGUGAUUACUGAGGCUUUGUAGAUAUAAAUGUUACAUUAUUUGGUUCUGUCACAUAAGUUUAAGACUAUGCCAAAGAUAUUUGGUGAAAAUUCGGGUCUUUGUGUUGUGCCUUUGAAUGUGCAUGUGUGAUUUCUUGGAUGGAGUGUUGAGGUUUGAGAAAGCUUUGUUUUUUUUGUGAUUACAGGACCUCCAGGGUCAGGGAAAGGUACACAGUCUCCAAUAGUGAAGGAUGAGUUUUGCUUGUGUCAUUUAUCCACUGGGGACAUGUUAAGAGCUGCUGUUGCUUCCAAGACCCCUCUUGGUCUCAAGGCCAAAGAAGCUAUGGACAAGGUCUCCUCUUUUUUUUUUUUAAUUUUCCUUCUUUGAGAAACAUCUUUGUUUGCUCAUUGUUUCCAUUGCUCUUUUUUGCAGGGAGCGCUUGUUACUGAUGAACUGGUUGUUGGUAUAAUUGAUGAAGCCAUGAACAAGCCAAAAUGUCAGAAAGGUUUUAUCCUUGAUGGGUUUCCCAGGACUGUUGCUCAGGCAGAGAAGGUCCUGUUCAUUAUAAAACGCUCUCUCAGUUUUUUCUCUCUUUUUUUGCUCUUUUGGUUGUUUAUUGGGGGUUUGUUGUUUGUUUGCAGCUAGACGAGAUGCUUAAGAAGCGAGGAACUGGAAUCGACAAAGUUCUCAACUUUGCUAUUGAUGACUCAGUCCUGGAGGAAAGAAUAACCGGUAGAUGGAUCCACCCGUCGAGUGGCAGGAGUUACCACACCAAAUUCGCGCCUCCCAAAACUCCUGGCGUUGAUGAUGUAAGAAUCACAAUAAAUUCAAUUUAAAAAAAAAGAAUCACUAUAAACUUCGAUACCUUUUGUCUGUUUAUGCAAACCCCUUUUGUCUGUUUAUGCAAACCCCUCCUUAAACAUCUGUCCAAAACUUAUUCUUUCUAUCAUUUUCCAUGGAAGAUUACCGGAGAGCCUCUGAUCCAACGCAAAGAUGAUAACGCUGAGGUUCUAAGGUCAAGACUUGCUGCUUUCCACACUCAAACUGAACCGGUAUUGAUUCCUAUUCUUUUUGUAGUUCAUUGUUGGUUUUAAGCAUCCUCAUGUUCAUGUUCAUGUUCUUUCAUUACUCACAGGUGAUUGACUACUACGCGAAGAAGGCUGUUCUUACAAACAUCCAUGCUGAGAAGGCUCCACAAGAAGUUACGUCAGAGGUUCAGAAAGCAUUGUCCUGAUGAUGAAAGACUUGCUCAAGGCAGUCAUCUCUUCUGGUUAGAAUCCAUUCUUUUCCUUCCUACAAGAGAGACACACAUCUAUUAUAUAUCUUCUCAUCUGCGGAAUGACAGUUUUUUCUAGUCUUUUGCGCUUUGCCUUUUCGUCUAAUCUUAAACUUCGGGAGAAUAAUGUAUGCUUCCGACCAAAACGGUCUUGAUUAUAAUCUGCUGUUUCCUGUCUGACAACUUGAGCUGUUUUUAUUCUGCACUGUAACAGUCUCUCAACAUUCCUCUCUUUAUCGAAUCAGUAAACAACUUUGAUAGACAAUUUGCAGCUCAGAUUCAUUGGUACUCAAGGCAACACCAGAAAGACUCAUGUCUGGAACUCUGUAUCCAUCCCUACGGUGUAGACAUGUGUACAUUAACAAUCUUCACAAGCCCAUACCAUAACUCAAAAAGACACUGAUAGGCUGCCUUUUGAUAUUUAUUAGUAGGGCCAUUGGGCCUUUAUAAGGGCCUAAAAAUAAAAUGAUUAAUGGGAACAAGCUUAUCCAGUUGGCACGUGUUAUUCAGACACGGUUUACAAGGCGCGUUAACUGGGUAAAAUAGUCAAGGUAGUGGAGGAAAUGUCGGUCGACGAUCGCGUCUAUUACACGCACUUCAUCAACACGUGGCAUCUUCCGAGUGGACUCAAUUACGUUUACGCGCGUGAGAUCUUUCUCAAAUAAAUUAGAGAGAUGGCUCGUAGUAUCUUUAACAGCCGUUGGAUCUAAUCUCGACGGUAAAUAUCGAACGAAUAGUUACAGCCGUUUAGAUUUUGUUCGGCUUGCAAAUUGACGGCUUAGAUUCGAUUAAAGGCGGCGGGUUGAUCAUCCUCUUCGGAUCUAUAAGUAGACAAGCAAACUCGUUCGUCAUUGGACGCAAGUUUCUCUCUCUCCUCUCUCUCUUUUUUUUUUUCUCUCUCUCUCUCACCUCUUUUCGUUAUUUCGAUUCUUUUUCAUUGUGGAAACGAUACCUGGGAACUCUGGAUCUAGGUUUUCAGAUCGAUUUUGGUAGUUUUUUUUUUCUCAGUCUAGGGUUUCUCUAGGGUUUCAAUUUUGGGGGUUUGUGCCCUAAUUCGUCGUCGGAGAAGGUUCUCUCUUCGGUAUCGUCUCGUCGUGGAUUCUGAUUUUGACCCGAGGGUGCAAUUCGUCAUCGGAUUGAUUUGGUAUUGUGAUUCUUAUCCGGCCAAUUGAUCGGGUCUUGGCUCGAGCGAGAACAAGGAGGGUGUUUGAUCGUGGAAGGGACUGACGCGAUUUGAUUUGAUUGAUUACUGCAACUUCGUAGAAGCAUGGUUCAAGUUGAUAUGUGCACAGCUAUUGGAAGCUAGUCGCAUUGCAUUAGAAGGAGCCCCAAGUCGUCGUCUUUCUUCUGUGUGGAAUGAUGGGUAAAGCAAGGAAGCAUUCUAGAGGGAUGCAAGCUGUUGAGCGUGACGACUUCGGUUACCCGCGUGGGACGGAUAGUGAGAUGGAGGAGGAGGCACCCGUGAGUAAAAGGAGUCGUUUUAGCUUGAAUGGUGGAGAUAGAUUCGGCGUUCCUAAAGAGGUUUUGUCUUUGUCGAAUAUGCUAAGGUCUGAGAGAGAGCAUUUAGUUCACAAGCUCAGGAUGGAGCUUGAACAGGUCAGGGAGCUUCGUAGGAAGGUUGAAUGUUUUAGUUCAGAUAGGGUUAUGUUGUCUCCGUAUAGCGAUCUUCAUAGUUGCAGUGAUGGGUCUCGGAGGAUGCCUACACAGGGGAAAAAGCGUCGUCCUUUGCGGAAUGAUAAGCAGCGGAGUAAGAAAGGGCCAGCAUCUGCUAGAUUAGAUGUCACAACAAGCUCUACGGUUGCUUCAUUGAUGAAGGAGUGCCAGACGUUGGUCGAUCGUCUAUGGUCACAUAAGUUGGGGUUUCCAUUUCGCAUCCCUGUUGAUCCAGUUUUGCUGAAUAUUCCAGACUAUUUUACUGUGAUUAAGCACCCGAUGGAUCUUGGAACGAUAAGAAGCAGAUUGCGGAAUGGGGAAUACUCUAGUCCUUUGGACUUUGCAGCAGAUGUGCGUCUUACGUUUUCAAAUUCCAUGGCUUACAACCCACCAGGAAACCAGUACCAUAAAAUGGCUCGAGAUCUCAGCACAUAUUUUGAGUCGAGAUGGAAAACUAUAGAGAAGAAGAUACCUGUGAUGGAACCACCAGUCACGUACCUAACCAGUUCUGCUUCUCUGGAGUCUGAAGUCCCGUAUAAUGUAGCACCACCGAGAAAGAAUACAGCUUCAGUGAACGAGAGCAAGUUGAGGGUGGAACCUGCGAAGUUGGUCAUGACAGAUGAUGAGAAGAAAAAACUAAGCCAAGAUUUGGACGCGUUAGAAGAGUUCCCACAAAACAUUGUUGAUCUCCUGAAAGAGCAAAUUGGCAAUGAUGACCUAUCUGGGGAAGUUGAGAUUGAGAUUGAUAUAGAGACGCUUUCAGACGAAACCUUGUUCAUGGUUCGGAAACUCCUGGAUGACUAUCUAAAGGACAGAAAGAAAUCACAGGAGAAGAGUGAACAUUGUGAGAUGGAGGUAAAGA
rnacentral:lncRNA from 1 species